rnacentral:tRNA from 1 species
UGUCGAGGGAUGGGAAUCGAACACACAGUGUUCCGCUUACCGAGCAGAUGCCAUGUCCACUAGGCUACCCUGGAC